CCCGCGGGGGCCUGACCCGCGCUCUGCGGGCCGCGGCCCGGGGCCGCCAGCUCUGUGACCUUGGCCAAAACGUUUACGUUUUCCUGGCCUCGUUUUCCCCAGCUGUGGAGGCGGUGUGACCGGCGGCGUCGGGGCCUCAGGGAUCAGAGCCGCUAUCCCUCUGCAGGCUCUGGCCUAUCGCCGGGACUGAGUCACGCGCUCCUCCCCGUCACGGGAGAUGCCGGAUCCCUACAGACGUGGAUGAGCGGCGCGGAGUCACUUCACCACUUACCGGGCCCUGCUGCUCGGUCUCGCUGAAAUUCUCAUUCAUGCAUCUCUCUGUUCGCUUGCAUUGUCGGCGUCCUGUGCGCAGACACAGACCCCCGCUGGAAUCGGCGCCUGUCCUAAGCGGAGAUCCUGCGCUGCCAGUAUUUCCUGUGCCUCGAGCAGUGCCAGGCCCGCAGUAGGACCUUGAAAAAAUGCUUGUCGUGUGACUACGGCACCACCAUCUACACAGUCCUGCAAGCCAAAAAGCUGGAACUUCUGGUUGAACGGUCGGCUUCAACCGUCUGCAAUCACAAGUGGUAGCAUUUGGUCUCCUAGAAAUGUCUCAAAAUUUUAUUUUUCCUCUCUUUCUUCUGCCAAUAACAGCCAAUCGCCGUCUCACUGCAUACUGCAACAGUCUUGACAGGAUCCCUGUCACCAAUCUUCCCUCCCAACGGAUGCCAGAGUGAUCUUUCUAGAAGGAAACCUGAUUAUAUCACUUUCUUGCUUAAAACACUCCCUAAGGGGUGGCUGGGGGGUUCAGUUGGGUACUGUUGGAGAAGGUAACUGAGAGAACAUGACCAUCAGUUGAACUUCGAGCUGGACUCUGGCAAUUGGAGGAUCCUCACCCACUUCCCUGUCUUUGGAAUAUAUACUCUGCUCACCAUUUCCAAACUGGGAGCUGUUCCAAGAACAUAGCCCUGAAAAAUGAGGAAUUUCACUUCAUCAUUAGAGACAUUCUUAGACAACAUGGAGCAGUUUGGAUGUGCAAUGAACUGACCAUUUCCACCCAUGUCUCAAGUGUGUCACAUUUAUCAGACUCAAGUUUCUAAACAACACUUUUAAUUUUAUGUUUUCCACUUACUUUCACAGAAGAAUAAAAAUGUAAUAAAAUAUUCCAAUAUUGCACAAACAGUGAUGUGCACACAAAGAUGCUAACAUCAUUAGCUGGCAGUAAGUUUUGCCAUGUUAUUCAUCUAAAUGCUUAUUAAUUAGAGAAUGUACAAAAAUCUAAACUUGACAUCUAAGAGGGAGCUUAAAGAUACUGAAUAUUUUUUAAAAAGGGUAGCUUUUAUCAAAAUCAAAUGUGCUUAAGAGAUCAUGUAUAAAUAAGAGGAAGGACAAUCAUACCAACAUUAUAAUUUCUUGUUCUCUAUCCCACAUUACCCUCUUUUUCCCAAAUAAGUGACAAGGAGAGUAAAGGAACCACUGUAGAAUGGCUACUGUGUGCCAAACAUUGUGGUAGGGAAUUUGAACAAACACUCUGUUAAUGGCCACAGCCAAUAGUGUAUUUCAGUGUCAGAAAAAAGACCCAUGACCCAGAAGCUAUUCAUUUCAGUAAGAGUCCUUGUUUGCUAGACCAAUGAAUGAAGUUGGAAAAAAACAAAACAAACAAACAAAAACAAAACAAAACAAAACAAAAAAAAAACAAAACAACCCUGAAUCAUUAGAAAAGGACACAAUAAAACUAUAUUUAAAUAGACCGUUAAUAGUGUGCCUUACAUAUAUCUGCAUGGGAUAGAGAAUACAUUUCAUAAAAAAUUACCAGAUUUCUGAUAGUUUUUAAAGGAAUGUGUCUGAUGCUAACUUUAUAUUUAAGUAUCAAAUUAAGGAUCUGUGCUUUGAAGGCAGAUUUCUGUGCCAGUGACUCAAAAUUAAUGAUAGAUUAGUGACAUACAAUAAUUAUGACACGUUAAUGGUUCUCUCUGCACAGAUAUCCCAAGUCUAGCGGUAAUAAUAAGGAAAUAGAUAACUGUUUCUAUUUUACAUUCUUCCUUUUUUCUCUUUUGACCUCUUGGCAGAGAAGGAAUCAAGGGUCCUUCUGUCUUCUUAUGGCCAGAACUAGUAAGCCCUAUAAAAAGGCUGCAGAACAAUAAAUGGGGUCACUGGUAUCCCAAGCUUCUGGUUCCCAGCCAUUUAUAGAUGUUCCUUGCCAACAAUCCUGUUUUGAAAGCAUACUGAAGUAUAAAUGCCCAAACUGAAAAAAAUACUUGAUAGUGCCAUGCCUGGGAGAUAUAGAAGAAGGACAUUUCUGGAAGGUUAAUAAUCUACAUGUGGCAUUUCUUGAGGGAGCAAUUGACUAUCUAGAUAUUUAAAGUGUGGUGACCUGGAAUUAAGAGACCCAGAUUCUAGACACAUAUCUUCUUCUAACCAAUUGUAUACUCUUGGUUUUUAUGGAAUCUCAGAUUUGUCUUCCGUAUAAAAGGAGUUAGGACUAAUCCCUCUCUAAAGUCUUUUUCAGUUUAUCCUAUGUGAACAGCCCGGGCAUUUAAACACCCUCCUGAACCUAUAGAAAAGUUGAAGACCCAUUUAAAAAUCAGGAUGUAUCUCCUUACCUGAAUACUGUAAGUCUUAAAUCAUAACCACUUCUAGAAGUUAGUCUGGACUAGCAAAUAAGUAAGGCCUAAUAUAAGUGCAUUUCAGUAAAAUCACUUGUAAAUUACAUUUCUGAUCAAUCUUUUCAGGCUUCUGACAUGCCAAAUUAGAGGUGAGUAUUCCAAUUAAGUCAGUCUUUAUCCUUUUGGCAAACAAGGAUAUGGAUCAAUAUACUUGGUGAUGGUGAAUAAAGUCCUUAGUUUUCACUUCUUCAUGCCUCAAAAAUAUCUUCUUCAAGGAAAGCCCAAACCAGCAGGGCCACAACAGCAUCAGCCAUGAAAGUAGAUCUUAAGGUCAGCAGUCAGACUUUAAAACUCAGCAUGAAGACAUUAUUAACAGGCUGAAACUGCAAGUCUCAAAGUCCUGAUGUUCGGCAAGUUUCAGGAGGUGGAAUCAGCGACCUCUGGGCGGAACAGGUGGAGGAGGAUGGAAGGUCUCUCUGGCUGGAGGUCUGAAAUAAAAGAUAAAGCAACUAUUUUUAAGUGAAUCUAAUUAACUAGUUCUUAGGCAUCCAAGGUUUGUUGCGAACUUGGUAAACUAAGCAAAGAACAUGCUCCUUAAUUAAUGAAACCAUACAGACCCCUGAAAGGCACAGCUGCUGGCUGUGGAUCACAACCUUAGCUGCACAUUAGAAUUACCCAUGGACCUUUAAAAAAUACCAAUUCCCAGGCUCUCUCCUAAACCCAUUCCCUCCUAACCUCUGGAAGAUAGGGUCAUGCAUCACAACUUUUUAACAGUGUCCCUACCCAAUGAGUUAUAUUACUAUUUUACCCAUGUCUUCUAUUUUCUGAUGUUUUGAUACCUGGAGUCUCACUAAUCCCGGAGGGACUGCCCCUCCCAAGGCAAACUGAUUCCUACAGAUAGCAACUUGCUGAAGAGCACACCUUUCAUAUGCAAACUAACCAGUCCCAGCCUAUACCCCAACUACUUCCUUUAUGGGUUCUUACAUUUGGGCCGCUAUCCAUCUGCCCUAAUCACUCCAGGGCCAGGUGCUAGACAACUAGGGAUCUUUGCCCCGGAGUCCACUGAAAUUAUUCAAACUAGCCAAUCCUAAAUCUGCUUACCCUACCUUACUUGUACUCCUGCAGAAAUCACAAUAAAAGCUCUUAUCCAUG